rnacentral:rRNA from 1 species
AUUGAACGCUGGCGGCAUGCUUUACACAUGCAAGUCGAACGGUAACAGGCCUUCGGGUGCUGACGAGUGGCGAACGGGUGAGUAAUGCAUCGGAACGUACCCAGAGGUGGGGGAUAACGCAGCGAAAGCUGUGCUAAUACCGCAUGUGAUCUGAGGAUGAAAGCGGGGGACCGAGCAGCAAUGUUUGGCCUCGCGCCUUUGGAGCGGCCGAUGUCGGAUUAGCUAGUUGGUGGGGUAAAGGCCUACCAAGGCGACGAUCCGUAGCUGGUCUGAGAGGACGACCAGCCACACGGGGACUGAGACACGGCCAAGACUCCUACGGGAGGAAGCAGUGGGGAAUUUUGGGCAAUGGGCGCAAGCCUGAUCCAGCAAUGCCGCGUGCGGGAAGAAGGCCUUCGGGCUGUAAACCGCUUUUGGCAGGAACGAAACGGUGUCCGCUAAUACCGGGCGCUAAUGACGGUACCUGCAGAAUAAGCACCGGCUAACUACGUG